CUGACAGCUUGGCCACCUGAGGCUGAUUAGAGUCGGACUCCUUGGGUCCUGAGAGGCCACUGCAUGGUGCUGUGAGGCCGAAGCCUUAGUGUCAAGAGAGACUCCAGGAGACUAUAGAGAUAAUUGUAGUCUUCACCCUUCAUCUAGAAAACAACUUGUUGCAACAGAUGGAGAUCCCUGCAGAAAACCACAACCAAUCAACAUGCCAAGUUGUUGAACCCAGUCUCAAUGGAUACAGCUACAAAACACUCCUGCGCCUGAGCCUCAGGGAGCGUUGCAGAAGAGGGAGUGGAAAAACUGUUAAUACAUGGAUGACCUUAAAAGACAAUGGAAGGGGAGAAAGAAGGAUAUCAGAAGGAGAAGAAAACAAAGGAUAAGUUGGAUAUUAUCUAGCUUGAUCACAUGAAGAUUUCUAAACUAGGUGUGUAUGAUGGCUUGUAUAUGCUGGAAGUGGCACUAUUAGGUGGUAUGGCCUUGUUG